rnacentral:misc_RNA from 1 species
UCCGGUUUGACACCGGCAGUCUCCUAUGAGUCCCCGACAUAACUCGCUGGCAACAUAGGACAGGGGUUGCGCUCGUUGCGGGACUUAACCAAACAUCUCACGACACGAGCUGAAGACGGCCAUGCAUCACCUGUCACUUGGUUCAAUAAAGCACUCACUUCUUUCGAAGUAAUUCCAAGGAUGUCAAACCCUGGUAAGGUUCUUCGCUUACCAUCGAAUUAAAGAACAUGCUCCACCGCUUGUGCGGGUCCCCGCCAUUUCCUUUAUGUUUUAGUCUUGCGACCGUACUCCACAGGCGGGAUGCUUAACGCGUUAGCUUCGCUACGGAAGGGGUCGAUACCCCCCACAGCUAGCAUCCAUCGUUUACGGCGUGGACUAC